GCUGCCGCCCGUCCCGCGCGCUCCUCCGCCCGCUCCACUCCGCUUGCUCGACUCCGCUCGGCCCCGCGCCCUCCGUCAACAUGAUCCGCUGCAGCCUGGCCUGCGAGCGCUGCCGCUGGAUCCUGCCCCUGCUCCUACUCAGCGCCAUCGCCUUCGACAUCAUCGCGCUGGCCGGCCGCGGCCGGUUGCAGUCAAGCGACCACAUCCAGACGUCCUCGCUGUGGUGGAAAUGUUCCCAAGAGGGUGGCGGCAGCGGGUCCUACGAGGAGGGCUGUCAGAGCCUCAUGGAGUACGCAUGGGGUAGAGCAGCGGCUGCCAUGCUCUUCUGUAGCUUCAUCAUCCUGGUGAUCUGUUUCAUCCUCUCCUUCUUCGCCCUCUGUGGACCCCAGAUGCUUGUCUUCCUAAGAGUGAUUGGAGGUCUCCUUGCCUUGGCUGCUGUGUUCCAGAUCAUCUCCCUGGUAAUUUACCCCGUGAAGUACACCCAGACCUUCACCCUUCAUGCCAACCCUGCUGUCACUUACAUCUAUAACUGGGCCUACGGCUUUGGGUGGGCAGCCACGAUUAUCCUGAUUGGCUGUGCCUUCUUCUUCUGCUGCCUCCCCAACUACGAAGAUGACCUUCUGGGUAAUGCCAAGCCCAGGUACUUCUACACAUCUGCCUAACUUGAGAAUGAGUAUGGGAGAAAAUCGCCGCUGCUGAGAUGGACUCCAGAAGAAGAAACUGUUUCCCCAGGCGACUUUGAACCCAUUUUUUGGCAGUGUUCAUAUUAUUAAACUAGUCAAAAAUGCUAAAAUAA